GACGAACGCUGGCGGCGUGCUUAACACAUGCAAGUCGAACGGAAAGGCCCUGCUUUUGUGGGGUGCUCGAGUGGCGAACGGGUGAGUAACACGUGAGUAACCUGCCCUUGACUUUGGGAUAACUUCAGGAAACUGGGGCUAAUACCGGAUAGGAGCUCCUGCUGCAUGGAGGGGGUUGGAAAGUUUCGGCGGUUGGGGAUGGACUCGCGGCUUAUCAGCUUGUUGGUGGGGUAGUGGCUUACCAAGGCUUUGACGGGUAGCCGGCCUGAGAGGGUGAACGGCCACAUUGGGACUGAGAUACGGCCCAGACUCCUACGGGAGGCAGCAGUGGGGAAUAUUGCACAAUGGGCGGAAGCCGGAGGCAGCAACGCCGCGUGCGGGAUGACGGCCUUCGGGUUGUAAACCGCUUUCGCCUGUGACGAAGCGUGAGUGACGGUAAUGGGUAAAGAAGCACCGGCUAACUACGUG
rnacentral:rRNA from 1 species